CGGCAUGCCUUACACAUGCAAGUCGAACGGCAGCAUGGAAGAGCUUGCUCUUCUGAUGGCGAGUGGCGAACGGGUGAGUAAAGCAUCGGAACGUACCGUGUAGUGGGGGAUAACGUAGCGAAAGUUACGCUAAUACCGCAUACGCACUGAGGUGGAAAGCAGGGGAUCGCAAGACCUUGCGCUAUACGAGCGGCCGAUGUCAGAUUAGCUAGUUGGUAGGGUAAAGGCCUACCAAGGCGACGAUCUGUAGCGGGUCUGAGAGGAUGAUCCGCCACACUGGGACUGAGACACGGCCCAGACUCCUACGGGAGGCAGCAGUGGGGAAUUUUGGACAAUGGGCGAAAGCCUGAUCCAGCCAUGCCGCGUGAGUGAAGAAGGCCUUCGGGUUGUAAAGCUCUUUCGGCUGGGAAGAAAUCGCACAGGCUAAUACUCUGUGUGGAUGACGGUACCAGCACAAGAAGCACCGGCUAACUACGUG
rnacentral:rRNA from 1 species